rnacentral:rRNA from 1 species
GACGAACGCUGGCGGCGUGCCUAAUACAUGCAAGUAGAACGCUGAAGGAGGAGCUUGCUUCUCUGGAUGAGUUGCGAACGGGUGAGUAACGCGUAGGUAACCUGCCUGGUAGCGGGGGAUAACUAUUGGAAACGAUAGCUAAUACCGCAUAAGAGUAGAUGUUGCAUGACAUUUGCUUAAAAGGUGCAAUUGCAUCACUACCAGAUGGACCUGCGUUGUAUUAGCUAGUUGGUGGGGUAACGGCUCACCAAGGCGACGAUACAUAGCCGACCUGAGAGGGUGAUCGGCCACACUGUGACUGAGACACGGCCCAGACUCCUACGGGAGGCAGCAGUAGGGAAUCUUCGGCAAUGGACGGAAGUCUGACCGAGCAACGCCGCGUGAGUGAAGAAGGUUUUCGGAUCGUAAAGCUCUGUUGUAAGAGAAGAACGAGUGUGAGAGUGGAAAGUUCACACUGUGACGGUAUCUUACCAGAAAGGGACGGCUAACUACGUG